rnacentral:lncRNA from 1 species
UCACUAGUCUUUUAGCGUCAUGUGGACUUAGGGAGAUGAUAACUCUGGUGCCUGCAAGUUUGAUACAAACCCUUGAUGAGUAAAACCAAUAAGAAACCAUACGAUGAGAUAUCAAUACAGAAUACAAUUUCUUUAAGGAGAAACAAUUUUUACCUCGUCAAAAUUGGCUGAAUUUCCUGGAAUUAAGAAUCAGACAGUACUGCCUAACACAAGAAUUAAGACGCAAGCAAAAACAAUAUGAUAUUAAAAGCAUAGAAAAAGAACAUGUACCUUCGACAGAUCUGUUGGAUUCAGUCUUGCAAAAUCAUUCAUGGUUAUAUGACUGCCACCAAAAAUGCCCUGAUUUGAGAACAUAUCAUAUGUUAAACAACGAAUCUUUGCAUGUAUUAAACUUAUAAGAGUUAACAAGAUUUAAAUACAUACUCGCUUGCAAAGAGGUGAAAUUUCCCAUAUAUACAUCAUCUUCCUCAAAUUCAUAGUAGCUUCUGCAUCUUUUCUGCAGAUGAAGUCAAAGAUCCACAGAGAAAAAAAGUUAAACAAAUUUUCAGAUAAAUGGUGCCAAAGACAUUGAUAUAAACACUAAUGUGUAUUAAGCCACAACGACAUUUAAUCUAAGCGGUAACUACUAACUACCCAUUAGUGUGCAUCAUCUUAAGUCCUACAAUUGAUAUAAACACUUAUGUAUAAGGCAUAACAAAAUUGAUAUCAAGCCAGAUAUAAGCAUAUAUAUGAUGUUGAUUAAUCAUGAGAUGUAAAGACUCAUGACUACCACUCUAGUAUAAGAACUUCGUGAACCAUCUGGGAAUCACAUGUCUUAAUGACUUUUUUUUUAACCAAAUCUAAGAAAAAAUUACAAACAACAAUCAUUUGGUCUCUGACACCAGCCAUAGACUAACUACAAAAUUUUAACAGAGUAAACAUCUAAUUUUACUGAAAAUCAAGAAGCAAAACAUGCGCAGAGUUUUGUUUUUCUUAUUAACAAGUAGAUAUCUGAUUCAAAUACAUACCUACUAGUUUAGCCAAUUCUGUUGUGCACUAGAAGUCACCAAAAUCCCAUAAUUCUCCUCUAAUGAAUCACACAUGCUCCAAAAUCUUAUUACUGCAACAAUGUAAACAGAACCAGUAACACUAUAAUCUUAAAAAAAGAAUGGAGAUAGAGAGCGUGGCAGAAGUCGAACCUGAGACAAAUCUUUGUACACAUUUGAGUUCUCUUCUGAAGCUUUAAAAUUUAUAUAUGCACAAAAGACUCAAAAAAUGGAGUUACUCACAAAACCAUAAACGCCAUCAAGGAAAAUGCUUGGGAAGAUUAUAAGUAAAAGAGGAAAGGGACAUUCACCUGAUCAAAGUGGAAAAUAUAUAAUCCGCAAACUUGAUUUUCUGUAUAUCCUAUUAAGAAUCAGUCACUAA